GAAAGAAAAUACAUUCAACAUAUUCAAAUAGCCUAUAUAAACUCAUUGCUUCAGUCAGUUAAAACAUCACCAUGAUCUGACAAGUUCCUUAAAAUUAAUUUUGCAACUAAGCACCCAAAUACAGGUACAAGCAGUGAUGUGCAAACGAGGAUGUUUUAUAACUGAUGAAGAUAAAGUGAAAGUAAAUCGAUUCACUUCGAUUUGGUGAACUGGUUCGACCGGUUCACUAAGAAGAUCCGGUCAAAUAGAACGAUUCGUUAGCAAACCUUACGUCACUGUGUGGCUGUCAAUCACCGCACCGGUGUGGAUACUGCACUUUGUUCACAGAUUCUACAUCUUGAAAAUAUGACCCAAAUAAGAGUUUUCACUGGAGAAUGUCAUCUAAACAAUGUUCUCCAACGUCUCCACGAUUCCUAUUCUCAACAGCACCCGUUCAUCCCCAGGAUUCCUGCAAUGAACCAACCCAAAAUUAUCAAGAGCUAAGAACUCCAGAACCUUCCAUAUCCACUCAUACUCUCUGGCUUGUUUGUGACACAUGGCACAUGACGCAAAACCCUGGAUUUGUGUUCAUGCUGCCAGUGAGACUGUCUUUGUCUUGGUGAUACUGUUGCAGUGUGUUGACGAAAACCUCUCAAACAGAGAGCUCAAUCUGGUGCUAUUUCUCUACAUGAGAGAAAUGGUCCAUCAUGUCUGAGGAUGUGCUUGUGGAAUGCUCUUUGUAUUGCUUUUGCUGUGAAACACCCAGAAUAUCUCCAAUAAACAAACCAUAACAUAAAAAAUGGCUAAUCA
ensembl:lncRNA